GACGAACGCUGGCGGCGUGCUUAACACAUGCAAGUCGAACGGAAAGGCCCUGCUUUUGUGGGGUGCUCGAGUGGCGAACGGGUGAGUAACACGUGAGUAACCUGCCCUUGACUUUGGGAUAACUUCAGGAAACUGGGGCUAAUACCGGAUAGGAGCUCCUGCUGCAUGGUGGGGGUUGGAAAGUUUCGGCGGUUGGGGAUGGACUCGCGGCUUAUCAGCUUGUUGGUGGGGUAGUGGCUUACCAAGGCUUUGGCGGGUAGCCGGCCUGAGAGGGUGACCGGCGACAUUGGGACUGAGAUACGGCCCAGACUCCUACGGGAGGCAGCAGUGGGGAAUAUUGCACAAUGGGCGGAAGCCUGAUGCAGCAACGCCGCGUGCGGGAUGACGGCCUUCGGGUUGUAAACCGCUUUCGCCUGUGACGAAGCGUGAGUGACGGUAAUGGGUAAAGAAGCACCGGCUAACUACGUG
rnacentral:rRNA from 1 species